rfam:Brachypodium distachyon strain Bd21 chromosome 4, whole genome shotgun sequence.
UAUGUACUCCCUCCGUCCCAUAUUAAAUGACUUCCUAUUACAUGUAUCUAGACGGUUUUUAGGCAUAGAGACAUCCCUAUUUGAGCAAAUUUGAGUCACUUAAUAUGGGACGGAGGGAGUAGUAG